GCGUGCAACACAAGGAUGCUGUGAUGAUUCGUUGUGAAGGCAAGGCGAUGAUAGUCUUCUUUGGGGAAGGAGGCUACCACAACGAGUGGUAUCUUGGAACCCGACGAUUGCCGAUGGUCUUACCUCUCUCUGGUCUUCUGAUGUUUCCUUGUAUGAGAGCUUCAUGUUCAGCAUGAAGCGGGUCCAUGUCUGAAUCUCCAAGCUUGCGCUUGUGAAUGAAUCAGCUGUCGAGAGAGUGAUGUGGGGGUGGAACGAUUCAGCGGCCUGAGCCCGAGUUGGGUGGUGCUAGCUCGCCUUCCAAUGCAAGCUCUGCCUGCGAAUUACCAGCCCUGCUGAUCUCAAACGUUACAGUAUCAUCAGCCUGGCACUGCUCUGAUACU
rnacentral:misc_RNA from 1 species